UGAUGCUCUGGAUGUUGCCAACA
rnacentral:piRNA from 1 species